ensembl:lncRNA
AUGAGAACUUCAACACGGAUCUCCCAAGCCGGUGGCAGCGGCUCGGGCGAGGCCGCGGACAAACGGCCCUUUUCAGGGCCACCUGAGAGCGCUCCUAGAGCUAGGUCCUUUUCAGGACUCCUAUGCGCCUCCUGUCCCGCCUCCCUGGCACCGGGUGACGGGCACUUGGCGUGCUUUUGGUGCCUCGGCGCCGACCACGCCGCGGCUGCUAUGGCGGCCCCCGUCUCCUGUGUCGCCUGCCGGGAGCUGCCUGAAGAGGGGAUCCUCUCCAGGCAUCUCUUCUUUUCCCCUGCGGUGGAAAUGGCUGACGCCAUCGACCUAUUCGGACCUGACGUCGACGAUGGCAUCAUCGACGCCUCCCUGGACGGCGACUCGGCGUCCGGUUUUUCCCGCUCUCGGGUUACAACCGCCACCGUCAUACAACACGAGGGUCCGCGCCGGAUGACCGAUCUCUUCCGGGAGAUCAUGGGUGAGGCGGCGGCCAUCAAAGGGAUUCCCAUGCCGGCCCCGCCUCUCGCCCCCGUAUCUGACGAUAUGCAGGGCGAGUGCUUUCGCACCCCAUCUUUUUCCCGGCGGGUUACCCAGUGCCCCUUGUUCCCGCCCUUGCAGCACUUGUUUAUUGCUGCCGGUGAGGACCCUUCGACCCUGAAGGCUCCGGUAAGAUCCUACACGGAUUUCACCAACGUGGAGGGGUGGGCCGAUGCUCAGGCGAGGGGGAUCCCUCGUCUGGAGCCUCCCCUGGCAGCGCUUCUCUGUCCGGGCGCCGGAUGGCUCCUUAACGAAAAGCCGCUGCCCCCCGACCGCCUCCAGAAGCAGAUUGUCGGCCUAACGGACAGGGUGUUCGUUUGUGCCUCUCAAUCCGCGGCGGCGGUCAACAACAUCGCCCUGCUCUCCUCUGCCAUGGUCUCCUUGUCGGCUGACAGGGAGGCCUACGGCCCGGAGGAAGCCGCGAGAUGGCUGGCGGUUUCCCGCUUUUCCAGCGCCAUCCUCCAGUUAUGCCAGCCGAUAGCCGUUUCGGCCGGCCAGCAUAUGGCGUGGGCUACCAUGAUUCAAAGGGUCAUAUGGCUCUCCCACACUGCGGUGCCGGAACGAGAGCGGGCCAGCCUCGUCCAGGGUCCACUAGCGCCGGAUGGCCUAUUUGGUCCCAGGUUCUCCGAGGUGCUCGCGCACCAGCAGUCAGUCCGUGAGGAUCGUUCCCGGUUCGGGACGAUUCUCACGGGCUCCUCCCGCCAGCAGGCUGAGAGGAAGCGGGGUCUAGGCCGGUCCCAGCGUUCCAUGGGGCCGCCUCCGACUCCAGCCCCGGUGCAGCAGCCGCAGCCGCCGCGCACGGGGAGAGCAGCAGCGCCACGGACCGGGAAGUUCCGGACGCUUGCUCCUACUUUUUCUUUCCCUAUUAAAGAAAAGAGUAAAGACCGUUCGGCCGAACGGCAGUACAUGGUACCUAAAGAGCGAUAUUCCCCAGGCCACCUGCGCCCUACGCUUGUGGUGCGCUCCUCCAUGUUGCCUCUUUCCCCCUCUCAGCCCGGUGGCUGUAGGGUGGCGGUCGGACGGCGUGUUCACAUGGCCUCUGGUUCACCUGCUUCUAAGAAGCGGCGUCCCUUGGAGCCUCGUGGACGGAUCAGAGACUCGUUGCACGGUCUCCUGGUUCCCCACAUUAUAGGUGAGGAGAUGGGUCCGCGCGCUGUGGCUACAGCCUGCGGACAGCGCAUGCGCACAGGUGCUGCGGCCGGACGGCUCGCUCCCUGUUCAGCGGGCACGAGCGCGACGUCUAGACAGCUCGUUGUUUUUACAACUGCUAGUUGUGGUACGUCUCCUACGCUCGCUGAGCCUCCUCCCUUUCGUGGGAAGCCCCCCUUGGUCCACACGCAGUGUGAAGGCGGUAGGGGCAGAGGAAUACGGGUUAUUCCUGGACGGUCUUCCUCAGCUGUCGGCUCGCCCUCUCUCCAACCGCUAUGCGUGUUGGCAAGAGCGGUGCGUUCUGCCAUCGUGGUUGGACACCACGUUGAGAUGGGGCCAUCCCAUACAGUU